GGCACGGUGGUGUGGUGGUUAGCACUGUUGCCUCACAGCAAGGAUGCCCUGGGUUCGAUCCCCGGUUGUGCUA
rnacentral:tRNA from 1 species